ACCUCAGGCCCAAGGCAAUAAUCAUUUCACAGAAAAUGCACCGCCCCGAGUGUCUUAUUGCUGUGAUGAAAUGGAAAUUUAAAUAAAAGGUCGAACACGUGCGUUCACUGGGAAGUAUUGACAUGGGUGUUACAUCACCACCAGCCAAUCAGAUAACUCCAGUCGUGUUUAUACUUCUACAACCACCUUGCACUUUGCAAAUAAAUACAUUAUUUACUGUAUUUUAACCACCAGUGCCUCUCCCAUAAAAAGAGUUACUAAAGUUAAUUGCUCAUCUAGGAUUAAAGUAAUGGUCUUCCUGAUAUAUAUAAAGAAAUAUUAAGGUCUUCCUCUAAACCUUAAGGGAGAUGGAAUCAAAAUCAAAGUUCAAGAGGAUAGUAAUCGCAAACGUCUCAAAACAGCUCUAAGUAAAGAUAUUGAACUAAUGUUUCCAUUGAAUUUACAUUAAAAACAAUAAUCAUAUACACACAAUGGAAUAUUAUUUUGUCCUAAAAAAGGAGGGAAAUCUUGCCAUUUGUAACAAUAUGGUUGAAACUGGAGGACAUUAUGAAAUGAAGGUGAAGCUCUUCCGAACAUUCGUGAUCAAUCAACAUAAAAUUCAUCUUGAACUUUGAUAUAUUACUCUUGCAACAAGACCCAUAAAGAAUGGCUAUGCCACUAUACCUCUGUUCUCAAAAGGAGUUGACCAGACAGUGUAGGUGGAGAAGGAAAAACUCAGAAGCACUUUUGGAUAAACUGCUCAAAGUAGUUGCACUACUUACAAUGGCUCAGCAGAGUCUUCUGCAUGAACAAAGACAGUGAACGUGAGUGAGGUAUGAAACAUAAUGCAGAUAAUGCACAAGUUAUGCCCUUCAAGGCCAUGAAUGAUUGUGGCCAACCUUGGAAAAGAAGUCAGGCAUCCCAGGAGUAGAAUUAAAAAAAAAAAAAAAAAAUGAAGUCAACUCCUGAGCCACACAGAGAAUACCUGUAUACACACUCUUCUGAGCUUCUGCAACCACGGAAAACCACGGGGGAGAUCAUGUGAACAGAGAGCCUCUCUUCCUAGCUUCUGGCAGCAUUAUCUCAUGUGAUCCUUCUACAAUCAUGUAAGCCAUUCUGAUGGGUGUGAGGUGACACCUCCUUGUAGUUUAGAUUUGCAUCUUCCUGAUGAAGACAAGCAUGCAUCCAGUUUCUCCAAAACUUGUCAUCAGUCAAUACACAACUGGCUUAAAAAAUAAG